AUAGUCUGGUUUCUCUUCAGAUCAUAUAAAUUUUUUUGCCUUUUACUAAAGAUCUCCAUGGAGAGGAGUAGCAGAAGUUGUACAAGGUGGAUACAAAGUUUAUAAUAUAAUAAUAUAC